rnacentral:ncRNA from 1 species
AGCUAGUAAGAUCCCUGAAAGAUGAUCAGGUUGAUAGGUCAGAGGUGGAAGCACGGCGACGUGUGUAGCUGACUGAUACUAAUCGAUCGAGGACUUAACCAA